rnacentral:tRNA from 1 species
GUAAGUAUAGUUUUGACCAAAAUAUUAGAUUGUGAUUCUAAAGACAGGGGUUAAAAACCCCUUACUCACC